CUGGGGUACAGGACGGAUGGUCGACCAGUUGGAAAGUAAUUGUUUCGAAUGUACUUCAUCUGGUCCACUAGCCGUCCGUAUCCGCCGCAG
rnacentral:pre_miRNA from 13 species